CUAUAUAUAUAUGUAGGACUCUAAAGUGCGAUGGUACUCUAAAGUGCGAUGGUCACGCUAAAGUGCGAUGGUCUACGCUAAAGUACGAUGUGUCCACGCUAAAGUACGAUGGUUGUUUGUUCGCUAAAGUACGUUGGUGUAUUACGCUAAAGUGCGAUGGUCCAAAGGGUAAGAUUCGAGGGGUUAAAACAUCGAGGUUAAAAAAGUUUUGCAAAAGCUAGUAUGCUAAGGUAUAACAUAUGUGAUAGGCUUUAUAAUUUUAUAGGCUUAAGUGAUUUUUUCUUAAUUAACAAAUUCGACCAAGUAAUAAUUGCUAUAAAGGUAAUA
rnacentral:lncRNA from 1 species